rnacentral:lncRNA from 1 species
UAAUAGUACUGCUGAUGCCAAAAUUUUGAACAUGCGACCACAAAAAUUUGAUAAACAUUCAUGAUUUUAUAUUGUUGUGAGGAACACAUUAAAAUACAUAUAAAAAUUUAUACAACUCAAAUUAUACUCCACAUUAAGAAUACAAAUAAUUUAGUAAGAGAAAUACAUAAAGAGAAUAAUGAAAGAUGAGGUUAAGAUCUUCACCAGACAACAAGUCAACCUCAAAAUCAAGUGACAGUGCCUAUAAAACAAACACAAUUAGAGUUGCUAGUGGUGUUCAAUGAUGAAAUAAUCUAACGCUCAAGUUUGAGAGAGUGAAAUUUAGAAAGGAAAAAGAGAUAGGAAGACAAAAGAUUGUCCAUCCCUUUACCUUCAACUUCUCCUCUAUUUAUAGGCAAAUGGAGAAAGAAGAGUUAUACCCACUUAGUACGCGCAUCAUUUAGGCACUGGUUUCUUCUUCCACGUACACACAUCAUUAGGGCAUUAUAUGUUUGAUUAAUUAAAUAACCACGCUUACUUGCUCUUUAGUGGCACAUCAACUAGUCACUUUACUCUUGUUUCAAGACCUCGAUCCCACGCCAACUAACAUUACACCCUAUUUGCCAAACACUGACUCUAGAUCUAAUGACUUGCAUUUAGCUUAGAAACGAAUGUUGAUAGGCAUUUAAUGUGGGUAAUCG